GUUUUAGUAUUUUUGCACAAGUGAACAUAACAAAUCCUACAAGGUGAUUGGUCAAAUUUGACGUAUUAAUUAACAAUUAUUCGCCGAAGGCGAGGUGAUUAUCGGUGAAUAAAAACCGAGACGAAGUCGAGGUUUUUAUUCACGAUAAUCACCGAGCCUGAGGUGAAUAAUUGUUUUAGUAUAAUUUCAUAGGUGAUUAUUUGGAAAAAAA